CAGCCCCUCGAGUGGUGGGGAUGAUUAUUUGGCCUAAAGCGUCCGUAGCCUGCCGGGUAAGUUUCCCGUUAAAUCCAGCGUCUCAAGCGUUGGACUGCGGGAAAUACUGCCUGGCUAGAGAGUGGGAGAGGUCAGCGGUAUUCUGGGGGUAGGGGCGAAAUCCUUUGAUCCCCGGAGGACCACCAGUGGCAAAGGCUGCUGACUAGAACACGUCUGACGGUCAGGGACGAAAGCUGGGGUAGCGAACCGGAUUAGAUACCCGAGUAGUCC
rnacentral:rRNA from 1 species